CUCUUUCACACAGGUGUCUUUACAUGUCUGUCUCUUAGUCACAUGUGUCUUUACAUGUCUGUCUCUUAGUUACAUGUCUGUCUCUUAGUUACAUGUCUGUCUCUUUUACACAGGUGUCUUUACAUGUCUGUCUCUUUUACACAGGUGUCUUUAAUGUCUGUCUCUUAGUUAGUGCAGUCUCUUUUACACAGGUGUCUUUACAUGUCUGUCUCUUUUAUACAGGUGUAACAUGUCUGUCUCUUAGUUACAUGUCUGUCUCUUAGUUACAUGUCUGUCUCUUUUACACAGGUGUCUUCACAUGUCUGUCUCAUUCUGUCUGCAUUAGAUUCACACAACUAAAUCCAAUGGGGGUGACGUAUUCAUUUACCAUCAAGCAGAACUGCAUUUCACAUGGCAUC
ensembl:lncRNA